AUGAAGACCUCAAGGAGUCAGAGCCGCUGCCGCAGCCACAGCUGGAGCCAGAGCCACAGGCAGAGCAUCUGAAGGCGACAGGAACACGAGCUCACGAGCACCAGUGCGAAGACAAGUUGGGCAGCCAGGGUCGCAAGGUCGGAUUCUGAAGACUGGCAGCAGAAGUCUAGGAGGCGAAGCCAGAGCAGCCUUCGGCCACCUCGCGGCACUCACAGGACCAGUGCAAACACUCUGACUCGGGUGAGCAGCAGGCACGGGGCUCCCGGACCCGAAAGGGUCACAGGCACUCUUGGUCCCCAGGGUCAUCAGCAUCUAGCUCGGACUCCUCAAGAUGCUCCCGGAAUCACGGGGCAGCUACCAUGGCCCUGAGCCAGCAGCACAGCCUGCAGAGACGACUGGGGCUUCGUGAGGAGCGCAAGCAGCAAGAAGAGCUGCUCAAGGCCUUGGAGACACCCGAGGAGAAGCGUGCUCGAAGACUGGCCAAGAAGGAAGCGAAGGAGCGCAAGAAGCUCCAGAAGAUGGGCUGGGGUGAGGACUACAUGGGCUACAGCAACACCGACAACCCCUUUGGAGACAACAACCUGCUGGGCACCUUCAUCUGGAAGAAGGCCUUGGAGAAAAAAGGCAUCAGCCACCUGGGAGAAAAGGAGCUGAAGGAGCGCCACAAGAGGAUCUGGGAGGAGAACCGGCUGGAGCUGUAAAAGGUCAAACGGCUGCGGCUAGAGCGGGAACGGGAGAAAGCCCUGCGGGAGCGGGAGCUGGAGAUGCUGCAGCGGGAGAAGGAGGCAGAACACUUUAAGACCUGGGAGGAGCAGGAGGACAGCUUCCACUUGCAGCAGGCCAAGCUUCGCUCCAAGAUCCGAAUCCGAGAUGGGCGAGCCAAGCCCAUCGACCUGCUGGCCAAGUACAUCAGUGCAGAGGAAGACUCUGACCUGGCGGUGGAGAUGCACGAACCCUCCACCUUCCUCAACAGUCUCAAGGUGGCAGACAUGGAGGACCUGCUCGAGGACAUCCAGGUGUCCAUGGACCUGGAGCAGGGCAAGAACGUGGACUUCUGGCAAGACGUGACGACCAUCACAGAGGAUGAGAUCGCCAAGCUCCGCAAGCUGGAGGCCUCUGGCGAGGGCCCAGGACAGCGCCGCGAGGUGGUCAACGCCUCGGUCAGCUCCGAAGUGCAGUCGGUGUUCAAGGGAAAGACUUACAAGGAGCUGCAGGCCAUCUUCCAAGCCAUCGAGGGCAAGGUCCGAGCCGGCGGCCCCAACCUCGACACGGACUACUGGGAGAGCCUGCUGCAGCAGCUGCGUGUACACAUGGCCAGGGCCAGGCUCCGGGAGCGCCACCAAGAUGGUCUUAGACAGAAGAUGUUCCAACUGAAGCAGGAGCAGCAGCAGGGUGUGGCGAGCGAGCCGCUGUUCCCCAUCCAGAAACCAGAGCACAAGGCCACCCACAGCCCCGAACCUGCAGAGCGGCCCCCCAGGCCCGGGACUUCAGUGGACACAGCACCAGGGGAGGCAGAGGGCGAGGCAGUGCUGAUGGAGGAGGACCCGAUCCGGCAGAGCCUGGCAGACUACGAGGCAGGCCGCUACAGUCCGCGGCUGCUCACCGCGCAGGAGCUGCCUGGCAACGCGCAUGUGCUGGAGCCGCACGAGGACCCGCAGCGCCUGCAGAUGGGUCGCCAGCAGCAGCUUCAGGCUCCAGGGGAUGCGAGCGAGAGCGCCGAGGACAUCUUCUUCCAGCUCGCGAGGGAGGGCAUGGGGCAGGACGAGGCGCAGUUCGGCGUGGAGAUGCCGCUGGAUGGCCGCGCCUCCCCGUGGGCCGCCAGGUACCAGCCUCGCAAGCCGUGCUUCUUCAACCGCUUGCACACGGGCUUCGAGUGGAACAGAUACAACCGGACGCAUUACGACUGGGACAACCCUCCGCCCAAGAUCGUGCAGGGCUACAAGUUCAACAUCUUCUACCCGGACCUCAUCCGCAAGCGUGCCACGCCGGAGUACUUCCUGGAAGCCUGUCCGGACAACCCGGACUUCGCCAUCCUGCGCUUCCACGCGGGCCCGCCCUACGAGGACAUCGCCUUCAAGAUCGUCAGGCGCGAGUGGGACUACUCACACCGCCAUGGCUUCCGCUGCCAGUUCGCCAGUGGAAUCUUCCAGCUCUGGUUCCACUUCAAGCGCUAUCACUACCGCCGGUGA